UACGAAGGGGGCUAGCGUUGUUCGGAAUCACUGGGCGUAAAGCGCACGUAGGCGGAUUGCUAAGUCAGGGGGUGAAAUCCUGGAGCUCAACUCCAGAACUGCCUUUGAUACUGGUGAUCUUGAGUCCGGGAGAGGUGAGUGGAACUGCGAGUGUAGAGGUGAAAUUCGUAGAUAUUCGCAAGAACACCAGUGGCGAAGGCGGCUCACUGGCCCGGUACUGACGCUGAGGUGGCGAAAGCGUGGGGAGCAACAGG
rnacentral:rRNA from 1 species